UGGGGAAUAUUGCGCAAUGGGCGAAAGCCUGACGCAGCGACGCCGCGUGUGGGAUGAAGGUUUUCGGAUCGUAAACCUCUGUCAGAAGGGAAGAAACCGCACUGUGCUAAUCAGCAGUGCCUGGACGGUACCUUCAAAGGAAGCACCGGCUAACUCCGUGCCAGCAGCCGCGGUAAUACGGAAGGUGCAAGCGUUAAUCGGAAUUACUGGGCGUAAAGCGCACGUAGGCUGGUUUGUAAGUCAGGGGUGAAAUCCCAAGGAUCAACCGUGGAACUGCCUUUGAUACUGCUUAGCUUGAAGCCGGGAGAGGGUGGCGGAAUUCCAGGUGUAGGAGUGAAAUCCGUAGAUAUCUGGAGGAACAUCAGUGGCGAAGGCGGCGACCUGGACCGGUAUUGACGCUGAGGUGCGAAAGCGUGGAGAGCAAACAGG
rnacentral:rRNA from 1 species